UACGUAGGGACCGAGCGUUGUCCGGAAUCAUUGGGCGUAAAGAGCGUGUAGGCGGCCACUUAAGUCCUGCGUGAAAUCUUGCGGCUCAACCGCAAGCGGUCGUGGGAAACUGGGUGGCUAGAGUGCGGGAGAGGAGAGUGGAAUUCCUGGUGUAGCGGUGGAAUGCGCAGAUAUCAGGAGGAACACCAAUGGCGAAGGCAGCUCGCUGGGACGGUACUGACGCUGAGACGCGAAAGCGUGGGGAGCGAACAGG
rnacentral:rRNA from 1 species